AUUCAAUGAGAAACAAUAUUCAGGUCAGGUCAAAGCCUAGAGAAAAAUGCGCAUUCAGAAGUGGGCUGCCAUCCUGCUUUUUCUGAAGUGAACAGCUGCUGGGUAUUGAAACCAGCCCUCACGGUUGGGUCCCUGCCACCAUGGCAACACUCUGGUUUCUGAGCUGGAGUGGCCAAGGCACAAUGGGGUGGUUCCAUGGCCCAGAAGCACUCUAGCUACAGAUUAGAAUGAUGACAAGAGUAAUACCUUCCUAGUGAAGAUGACUUUUAUUUCAGGACUAUAUUAAGUUUCCCAACUUCUGUCAUGAUAUAGUCCAAAGAGAACCUGGACCACGCAGACAUCAAACAGAACAUGACACUGACCCAUUCUAUCAGUGACGUUGUGCUGAUUGCACAGGACAGAUGAGAGGCUCGUAUACUAGAAGUCUUGAUAACUUGUUUUCUAGUUUCACAUGUCCACAGAUGAAGAAAAAUUGUGCCCCAGCAAGGAUUAUACCCAGAGCCUCAUCCAUUCAUACCUGAUUUAGAUACUUAGAUGAUGAGUAAUAGAAAAGCAUCAUCUUUAUGUAAAUCACUGUACUUGGCUUCGUGAGAAAUAUAAAAAUGAAUUGCUUCAAUCCCUGGACUCAAGGAUCCUG
rnacentral:lncRNA from 1 species